rnacentral:snoRNA from 1 species
GGGCGUGAUUUCAACACGCGUACUGUUCUUUGUAUGUCGUACGCGUCUGUAAUACACGCUAGAAUAAAUCCGGAUUUCGCUAGCACCGCGUCCCGUGACCGGAGUUUGAUAGUAGCCCGGAGAACAUUU